AAUGACAACUAUCUCAUCACUUCAAACCAGAAAAUAUGAAAAUUCUUUAUAUUAAAAACAGCUAACAAAGUGAAGUGCUUCUUUCAUUCGACAUAAAAAUUCAUUCUUUAAGAAACUACAAUUUGGGGCACCUGGGUGGCUCAGUGGGUUAAAG